CAGCCAGAAGAACCAGCCAGGGCUUCUAUUCAGGGUGGAUGGGACAUGUGCAGGGAGAGUCAGGGACCAGCUGCCAGCACAGCUCGGCCCCCUGCUCCCUUCUGGAACACCCCUUGUCCCCAUGUCUCCCCCUGUCCCCGCUCAGGCCUGAUCCCUGCACCACACACGCUGCAUCACAUACUGCACCGCGCACACUGCAUCGUGCACACUGUGCCACAUACUGCACCACACACACUGGGCCACGCGUGGCUGUACCACGCAUAGUGUGCCAUGCACUGUGCACCACAUGCACUGCACCACACGUAGGGCCCCAUGCACACUUGCAGCAUGCACACUGCACCGUGCAUCGGUGCACCGUGAGCACAGCACCCCGCACAGCGGCACCCACAGUCCCCUCCGUGCCUGCGAAGGGGACAGGCUCUCUGCCCCAGUCAGUGGGGCAGCUGUUGGCCCGGUGCUGGCAGCAGGAUGGAUGCUGUGCUGCUUGGCUGAGGAGGAAUGUCACCAGAGACAAGGCGAGCUGCGUCGCCUCUUCUCUCAUCCCCAAGACACUGCCUGCAAGGGGUAGGCGCCGGCGCCGCACAGCCCCCGGGAGCACAGCGCCUGCAACGCCCGCAGUCCCUGGCGCCCUUCCUCUUUCUCCCCCUGCCCCCAAAAGACUGGCUCCACUUUUCCCAGCAGGAGUCCAAGAGGAAAAAAAAAAAAAAAAAAAAAAAAAAAAAAAGGAAGAGGGAGAGGGAGGGAAAGAAGCUAAAAAUCUGUCUUCUUUAAUUAAUGAGGCAAGCCAGCCUGGAGAGCACGUUUGGGAUCGCAGGCCCCCAGCCAGGGGCGAGCCAGCAGCCAGGGCCAGUGACAUGGAGGAAGAAAGCUGAGGGGAGCGCGGGGGGAGACAGGCCUUGCUUUUUAUACUCUCCUGUUAACUGAUCCACGGAGCUUUCCUGGCAUCGUUUUCAAAGGUAUCCCUGCACUAAUCCGCCAGGCUGUUCCAGGAUGGCGGUUUUGACCAGCAGGAAGGGGGAAGGGAN
rnacentral:lncRNA from 1 species